UACGGAGGUGGCAAGCGUUGUUCGGAAUUACUGGGCAUAAAGGGUGCGUAGGUGGUCUGAUUAGUCGCUUGUUAAAACUCCCGGCCUAACCGGGAAGAGGUGAGCGAAACGGUCAGACUAGAGAGAGUGAGAGGUUAGCAGAACUCAUGGUGUAGGGGUGAAAUCCGUUGAUAUCAUGGGGAAUACCAAAGGCGAAGGCAGCUAACUGGCACUUAUCUGACACUCCAGCACGAAAGCGUGGGUAGCGAACGGG
rnacentral:rRNA from 1 species